UACAGAGGUGGCAAGCGUUGCUCGGUAUCACUGGGCUUAAAGGGCGCGUAGGCGGUGCGGUGCGGUUUCGGUGAAAUCCCUCGGCCCAACCGAGGAACAGCCGGGGCUACGGCCGCGCUAGACGGCAUCAGGGGACAGUGGAACUCCCGGUGGAGCGGUGAAAUGCGUAGAUAUCGGGAGGAACGCCGGUGGCGAAAGCGACUGUCUGGGGUGCCUGUGACGCUGAGGCGCGAAAGCCAGGGGGAUCAAACGGG
rnacentral:rRNA from 1 species